UUGAUCCUGGCUCAGGAUGAACGCUGGCGGUAUGCUUAACACAUGCAAGUCGAACGGGAUGCUUAGGCAUCUAGUGGCGGACGGGUGAGUAACGCGUGAGAAUCUGGCUCCAGGUCGGGGAUAACAGUUGGAAACGACUGCUAAUACCGGAUGUGCCGAGAGGUGAAAGAUUUAUUGCCUGGAGAUGAGCUCGCGUCUGAUUAGCUAGUUGGUGGUGUAAGGGACCACCAAGGCGUCGAUCAGUAGCUGGUCUGAGAGGAUGAUCAGCCACACUGGGACUGAGACACGGCCCAGACUCCUACGGGAGGCAGCAGUGGGGAAUUUUCCGCAAUGGGCGAAAGCCUGACGGAGCAAUACCGCGUGAGGGAGGAAGGCUCUUGGGUCGUAAACCUCUUUUCUCAAGGAAGAAGAAAGUGACGGUACUUGAGGAAUAAGCAUCGGCUAACUCCGUGCCAGCAGCCGCGGUAAUACGGAGGAUGCAAGCGUUAUCCGGAAUGAUUGGGCGUAAAGGGUCUGCAGGUGGAACUGAAAGUCUGCUGUUAAAGAGUUUGGCUUAACCAAAUAAAAGCGGUGGAAACUACAGAACUAGAGUGCGGUAGGGGCAAAAGGAAUUCCUGGUGUAGCGGUGAAAUGCGUAGAUAUCAGGAAGAACACCGGUGGCGAAAGCGUUUUGCUAGACCGUAACUGACACUGAGGGACGAAAGCUAGGGGAGCGAAUGGGAUUAGAUACCCCAGUAGUCCUAGCCGUAAACGAUGGAUACUAGGCGUGGCUCGUAUCGACCCGAGCCGUGCCGGAGCUAACGCGUUAAGUAUCCCGCCUGGGGAGUACGCACGCAAGUGUGAAACUCAAAGGAAUUGACGGGGGCCCGCACAAGCGGUGGAGUAUGUGGUUUAAUUCGAUGCAACGCGAAGAACCUUACCAAGACUUGACAUCCUGCGAAUCCUGGUGAAAGCUGGGAGUGCCUUAGGGAGCGCAGAGACAGGUGGUGCAUGGCUGUCGUCAGCUCGUGUCGUGAGAUGUUGGGUUAAGUCCCGCAACGAGCGCAACCCUCGUUUUUAGUUGCCAGCAUUAAGUUGGGCACUCUAGAGAGACUGCCGGUGACAAACCGGAGGAAGGUGAGGAUGACGUCAAGUCAGCAUGCCCCUUACGUCUUGGGCUACACACGUACUACAAUGCUACGGACAGAGGGCAGCGAGCCAGGGAUGGCAAGCGAAUCCAGAAACCGUAGCUCAGUUCAGAUCGAAGGCUGCAACUCGCCUUCGUGAAGGAGGAAUCGCUAGUAAUUGCAGGUCAGCAUACUGCAGUGAAUUCGUUCCCGGGCCUUGUACACACCGCCCGUCACACCAUGGAAGUUGGUCACGCCCGAAGUCAUUACCCCAACCGAAAGGAGGGGGAUGCCUAAGGUAGGACUA
rnacentral:rRNA from 1 species